rnacentral:lncRNA from 1 species
AAAUCCCGGAAUUUUACCCCAAAAUCCCUGGAAUUCCACCCCAAAAAUGUCCCGGAAUCCCCGAAAUCCCUGGAAUUCCCUGAAUCUCAGAGAUUUCAGCCCAAAAUCCCAGGAAUUCGCCCCAAAUCCAAACUCGAUUUUCUUUACUGAGCUCCCCGAGCUGGGUAAAAAUCCCGAAUUUCCCAAAAUUCCAUCGAAUUUCCCAAAAUCCCAACGAUUCCCCCCAAAAUUCCAUCGAAUUUCCCAAAAUUCCAUCGAAUUUCCCCAAAUUUUUGGUUUUUCCUGGAAUUUUCGGCACCUGUGGGAGGAAGGGAGGGGUCACUGGGGUUACUGGGGUAACCGGGAGGGGUCACUGGUGUCACUGGUGUUACUGGGAGCUGUCACUGGUGUCACUGGUGUUACUGGUGUCACUGGUGUCACUGGUGUCACUGGUGUGUCACUGGUGUCACUGGUGUGCCAGGGAGCCCCGGGCGCGGCCCAUACUGGUGUUACUGGUGUGACUGGUGUUGUUACUGGUGUUACUGGUGUUACUGGUGAACUCCGAGUACGGGCGCCAGCGCGGGCACAGCAGCGACCGGUACCAGCCCCGAACCUGCAACCAAACCGGUUUGGACUGGUUUGAACUGGGAACGGACCGGUUUGGACUGGUUUGGACUGGGAACGGACCGGUUUGGACUGGGAAUGGACUGGUUUGGGCUGGUUUGAACUGGGAACGGACUGGGAACGGACUGGUUUGCACUGGUUUGGACUGGAAACUGACUGGUUUGGACUGGUUUGGACUGGUUUGAACUGGGAAAGGAUUGGCUUGGACCGGGGCAGUUUUGGGGCUGAUUUUG